rnacentral:rRNA from 1 species
ACCCGCUGAAUUUAAGCAUAUCAGUAAGCGGAGGAAAAGAAAAUAACAAUGAUUACCUCAGUAGCGGCGAGUGAAGAGGUAAAAGCCCAAGAUGUUAAUCUAUACUAAAGGUGUAGAAUUGUAAUCUAUGGAGUCAGUCAGAAAGCGGAAGCCUGCCAUAAGUUCCUUGGAACAGGAUGCCAAAGAGGGUGAAAGCCCCGUCUUAGGGUAGGAAGAAGCAAUAUGAAUGAUUUCUAAGAGUCGGGUAGUUUGGGAAUGCUGCCCUAAGUGGGAGAUAAACUUCUCCUAAGGCUAAAUAUUUAUAGGAGACCGAUAGCAUACAAGUACUGCGAAGGAAAGAUGAAAAGAACUUUGAAAAGAGGGUUAAAAGACUUGAAAUCGUUGAAAAGGAAGCAGUAAAAGAGAAAUUAUUUACUGGUGAAUAAGGUUUUGGAAUAAGCUCUGUGGUGUGUAAUUCUUAAUAGGGUUGCUGCCAUUCUGUGAAAUCUAACUCACUUUUUACUGGUAAUAGACAAAGUGAGAUUGAUUUAUAAAAAUAAGGUAAAGAGUUUACUCUCUCGCUCGAAUUUAUAAGUCAGUCUGAGGGAUCUUAGGAUGAUUUUGUCAAAAUGGCUUUUACUGACCCGUCUUGAAACACGGACCAAGGAGUCUACCUAUUAUGCGAGUGUUAGGGUGGAAAAACCCAAACGCACACCGAAAGGGAUUUAAGAUGUGAGGCGCGAGCUGCAACAUCAACCAAUCUUGAUUCCCUGAUGAAAGACUUGAGUAAGAGCAUAAUCGGUAGGACCCGAAAGAUGGUGAACUACGGUUGAGUAGGGUGAAGUCAGGGGAAACUCUGAUGGAGGCUCGAAGCGUUACUGACGUGCAAAUCGUUCGUCAAACUUGACUGUAGGGGCGAAAGACUAAUCGAACCAUCUAGUAGCUGGUUCCCUCUGAAAUUUCUCUCAGGAUAGCAGGAACAGACAAAGCAGUUUUAUCAGGUAAAGCUAAUGAUUAGUGGAAUCGGGGGUCUCCGAUCCUUGACCAAUUCUCAAACUUUAAAUUGGUAAGAACCGAAAGUUAUCUUAAUUGAACUUUUGGGUAGAAUGCAUUGUUCUUAGUGGGCCAUUUUUGGUAAGCAGAACUGGCGAUGAGGGAUGAACCUAACGUUGAGAUAAGGUGCCCAAAUUCACGCUCAUCAGACACCAUAAAAGGCGUUGGUUAGUAUAAACAGCCGGACUGUGGCCAUGGAAGUCGGCAGCAGCUAAGGAGUGUGUAACAACUCACCAGCCGAAUUAACCAGCCCUGAAAAUUGAUGGCGCUAAGCGUGAUACCGAUACUCAACCAUCAUGGCAAAUAGAAGCUAUGAUGAGUAAGAGGGCGUGAAGACUGUGUAGAAGGCUUGGAUGUGAAUCUGGCUGGAACAGUCUUUAGUGCAGAUCUUGGUGGUAGUAGCAAAUAUUCAAAUGAGAACUUUGAAGACCGAAGUGGAGAAGGGUUCCAUGAGAACAGCAUUUGGUCAUGGGUUACUCGAUCCUAAGACAUAGGGAAAUUCCUUGUAAUACAUUUACUCUUACGAGUAUGUAGUCAAAAGGGAAUGAGGUUCAUAUUCCUCAAGCCAGACGUGGAGGUUAUGUGGUAACACAAAUAAGCUCGGAGACAUCGGUAUGUGCAACUGGAAGAGUUCUCUUUUCUUCUUAACAGUCUAUCUCCCUGAAUGGAUUAUCCAGAGCUAGGGAUAUAUGGCUGGCAGAGCAGUUCUCCAUUGAAUUGUCAGUGAUGCUCAUAACGAUCCUUGAAAAUCCGAGUAAGAUUAUCCUAUCACGCUGGGUCGUACCCAUAACCGCAUCAGGUCUCCAAGGUU